rnacentral:rRNA from 1 species
UACGUAGGGUGCAAGCGUUGUCCGGAAUUACUGGGCGUAAAGAGCUCGUAGGUGGUUUGUCGCGUUGUUCGUGAAAACUCACAACUCAAUUGUGGGCGUGCGGGCGAUACGGGCAGACUGGAGUACUGCAGGGGGAGACUGGAAUUCCUGGUGUAGCGGUGGAAUGCGCAGAUAUCAGGAGGAACACCGGUGGCGAAGGCGGGUCUCUGGGCAGUGAACUGACGCUGGAGGAGCGAAAGCGUGGGGAGCGAACAGG